rnacentral:misc_RNA from 1 species
UACGGAGUGUGCGAGCGUUGUUCGGAAUUACUGGGCUUAAAGAGUACGUAGGCGGACAUGUAAGUCAGGGGUGAAAGCCCCCGGCUCAACCGGGGAAUUGCCCCUGAUACUGCAUGUCUUGAGGACAGGAGGGGAGAGCGGAAUUCCUGGUGGAGCGGUGAAAUGCGUAGAUAUCAGGAGGAACGCCGGUGGCGAAAGCGGCUCUCUGGACUGUUCCUGACGCUGAGGUACGAAAGCUAGGGGAGCGAACGGG